GAUGAACGCUGGCGGCGUGCCUAAUACAUGCAAGUCGAACGCUUCACUUCGGUGAAGAGUGGCGAACGGGUGAGUAAUACAUAAGUAACCUGGCAUCUACAGGGGGAUAACUGAUGGAAACGUCAGCUAAGACCGCAUAGGUGUAGAGAUCGCAUGAACUCUAUAUGAAAAGUGCUACGGGACUGGUAGAUGAUGGACUUAUGGCGCAUUAGCUGGUUGGUAGGGUAACGGCCUACCAAGGCGACGAUGCGUAGCCGACCUGAGAGGGUGACCGGCCACACUGGGACUGAGACACGGCCCAGACUCCUACGGGAGGGAGCAGUAGGGAAUUUUCGGCAAUGGGGGAAACCCUGACCGAGCAACGCCGCGUGAAGGAAGAAGUAAUUCGUUAUGUAAACUUCUGUCAUAGGGGAAGAACGGUGGAUAUAGGGAAUGAUAUCCAAGUGACGGUACUCUAUAAGAAAGCCACGGCUAACUACGUGCCAGCCGCCGCGGUAAAAC
rnacentral:rRNA from 1 species